rnacentral:rRNA from 1 species
CUUGAUGAUUUUUUAAUAGGGAGUCGGACCUGCCCGGUGAAAUUUUUUAACGGCCGCGGUACUCUGACCGUGCAAAGGUAGCAUAAUCAUUUGCCUUAUAAUUGAAGGCUAGUAUGAAUGGUUUGACAAGAAUAUGACUGUCUCUUUACAACUUAAUAGAAUUUUAUUUUUAGGUGAAGAAGCCUUAAUUCAAUUAAAAGACAAGAAGACCCUAUCGAGCUUUAAAGAAAUUGGUGGAUGUAUGGUUUUUAUUUUUAAAAAAUGUAACUAUCAAAUAUUUUGGUUGGGGCGACUGAGGAACAUGAGAAGCUUCCUUUAAAGUUUUUGAUAUACUUAUGUUGAUCCAUGGUUUAGUGAUUGAAGGAAUUAGUUACCGUAGGGAUAACAGCAUUAUCUUUUUUGAGAGUUCUAAUCGAAAAAAGGGUUUGUGACCUCGAUGUUGGAUCAGAAUGUCCUAAAGAUGCAGAAGUCUUUAAGGGUUGGUCUGUUCGACCAUUAAAAUUCUA